CAGGAUUAGAUACCCUGGUAGUCCACGCCCUAAACGAUGUACACUAGUUGUUGCUAUGCUCGUCAUAGCAGUAAUACAGUUAACACAUUAAGUGUACCGCCUGGGGAGUACGGUCGCAAGAUUAAAACUCAAAGGAAUAGACGGGGACCCGCACAAGCGGUGGAGCAUGUGGUUUAAUUCGAAGAUACGCGAAGAACCUUACCUGGACUUGAUAUCCUUAGAAUCUUUCAGAGAUGAGAGAGUGCUUGUUUACAAGAGCUAAGUGACAGGUGCUGCACGGCUGUCGUCAGCUCGUGUCGUGAGAUGUUGGGUUGAGUCCCGCAACGAGCGCAACCCUCGUGAUUAGUUGCUAACAGUUCGGCUGAGCACUCUAAUCAGACUGCCUUCGUAAGGAGGAGGAAGGUGAGGACGACGUCAAGUCAUCAUGGCCCUUAUGUCCAGGGCUACACACGUGCUACAAUGGUUGGGACAAAGAGCAGCGAUACCGCGAGGUGGAGCAAAUCUUAAAACCCAAUCUCAGUUCGGAUAGGAGUCUGCAACUCGACUCCUUGAAGCUGGAAUCGCUAGUAAUCGUAGAUCAGCAAUGCUACGGUGAAUACGUUCCCGGGUCUUGUACUCACCGCCCGUCACACCAUGGGAGUUGAUUUCGCUCGAAGCCGGAAUACUAAAUUAGUUACCGUCCACAGCGGAAUUAGCGACUGGGGUGAAGUCGUAACAAGGUA
rnacentral:rRNA from 1 species